rnacentral:rRNA from 1 species
ACGCUGGCGGCGGCCUACACAUGCAAGUCGAGCGCCCCGCAAGGGGAGCGGCAGACGGGAGAGUAACACGUGGGAACGUACCCUUCAGUUCGGAACAACCCAGGGAAACUUGGGCUAAUACCGAAUACGUCCGCAAGGAGAAAGAUUUAUCGCUGAAGGAUCGGCCCGCGUCUGAUUAGCUUGUUGGUGAGGUAACGGCUCACCAAGGCUGCGAUCAGUAGCUGGUCUGAGAGGAUGAUCAGCCUCACUGGGACUGAGACACGGCCCAGACUCCUACGGGAGGCAGCAGUGGGGAAUAUUGGACAAUGGGCGCAAGCCUGAUCCAGCCAUGCCGCGUGGUGAUGAAGGCCCUAGGGUUGUAAAGCCCUUUCGGCGGGGAAGAUAAUGACGGUACCCGCAGAAGAAGCCCCGGCUAACUUCGUGCCAGCAGCCGCGGUAAUACGAAGGGGGCUAGCGUUGCUCGGAAUCACUGGGCGUAAAGCGCACGUAGGCGGGUUGUUAAGUCGGAGGUGAAAUCCUGNAGCUCAACUCCAGAACUGCCUUCGAUACUGACGAUCUC